UCUUUAUAACACAGCGGAUGCUAAAUAUGAAUAAGGCAGUGUGGGGGCACAGAAGGCCAGGAAACAGGAAGGCCUCCCCUUGGCUCUGACUUCUCCCUAAUGCUUUCCUGGUUUUAUCGCUCUGUGCUUCCUGCACUUUGUAAGUCAUUCUACCUCCCCAGCUCCAACUGUUGUCAUAUACAAGGCAGGUUUUCCAAUGCAUAACACCAGAGGGCGCCGGUCAGAAAUACCCACUCAUUUUCCUCUGAGCUUUCUCUUUCCAAAGAGACUUCUACCAAGACAAUUCCGUCCAUGUGAUUUUGCCACCAUCCGUACAGAGGAACAGCUUUGGCUGGCGGGCCAGAGGGCUACAGGGGAUUUUUCCUCUGUCUGGACACACAUCAAGCCCAACCAGAACUUCGGAAUGAUUCAGACGGGGAGGAUGAGGUCUAUCUUUUCAUUAUGCAGAAAGGACCUGCUUCAGCAAAAUACCUGUAAUACUGGCUUUGAUAAAAAUAACCAUUUCAACUGGGCGCAGUGAGGCAGGCGGAUGGCUGCAAGUUCGAGGCCAGCCUGGACUACACGGUGAGCGCAAGGCCAGGUUGUGCUACAGAGUGAGAGUCUGUUUCAAAACCCGGUUUGUUCCUCACCUGUUUCAAUGUUGACAGGCAUUAUAUAAACAGUCCCCAUGGCCCCAGCUGCUGGAGAUGACUCAUGAACAGUUUUUCCUCUAUUACAUAUGCACAUACACGGCUCGAUUUCCCCCCUUUUAACAGCUUUACCACAAAAA